UUCAUUGAUUAUCGUGCACGCGAGAAAACUAAGGAGAUGUGUCUACAAAAUAGUGAAAAUCAAUCCAAAUUGACAAUCCCACACACUGGAGGAUCAAAGAGUUUGGCAAGAAAAAAACAUGAGAUGGAAAUUGAGAGUGGUCAGCCAGUGAGUAGGGGUUUAUUAUACAUCGCGAGACAUAAGAAGAAAGACGGAUCUUUU